CGUUGACACAAUAACACUCCAAAGCGGGCCAUGAGAUAAAUUGGAUAUCCGUUAAUGGCAUAAAAAUGUAAAACAAUACCGAAACGCACGUGUUUCGAGUGCCACUCGACGCCGUCGAGUUUGUCCAAAUGUUUGUAAAUCUUUAUUUAUUCAAGCGAAACUGAUGUCCUCAUAGUUUAUGUUUGGCUGGCUUGUAAUGUGACUGUGGGGAAUUGUAUUGAACUGUUGCGCAUCCUUGCCAAGCCAAACUAGAUACGUGAAAUAAUGUGACAUUUAAAACAUGAACUGCUGCAGUGCUGCUAAGGUUAAGAUGGUGUGGCAACGUGUAGGAACUGUGAAGCGGGAGUUGGCGUGUUCAAUUCCCCAAACUGGAUCCCCAUGGAGCAUUGUUUACGGCAGACAAGCGACCGGAAAAAAUCAGUCAAGCUCUUACAGCAAUAUUUUCGAAAAAGUGCUGCAGUCAUUCCACAUUUGAGACAAAGGUAAAUGGAAUUAGUAUUCAAUCAUCGAUAUAUAUGUACAACGUACUAGAUUUGGCCUUCCGAACAUUCACUGUAAU